rnacentral:lncRNA from 1 species
UAAAGAUAAAGUUCCAGAUCCUAACUGGACACUCGACUCCACAAGACUAACCAUAGUACCGGUAGUCCGGCCUAUAUGGCCUAAGACCCUUAGUACUAACUACUAAACGACUAAGCAAUAAUAAUCAAUACUAAUCAAUUAAAUCAAACCGUUAUCCAGAUAGUCCAGACUCCUGCUAUGAAACUAUCCUUAAAGAUAACGGGAACCUGCACUCAACCAAAUCAACACACAAGAAU